rnacentral:rRNA from 1 species
CGCUCUGCUGGGCCAUCACUGACGCUCAUGGACGAAAGCCAGGGGAGCGAAAGGGAUUAGAUACCCCUGUAGUCCUGGCCGUAAACGAUAAACACUAGGUGUCGGGGGAAUCGACCCCCUCGGUGUCGUAGCCAACGCGUUAAGUGUUCCGCCUGGGGAGUACGCACGCAAGUGUGAAACUCAAAGGAAUUGACGGGGGCCCGCACAAGCGGUGGAGUAUGUGGUUUAAUUCGAUGCAACGCGAAGAACCUUACCAGGGUUUGACAUCCUGCGAAUCUCUUGGAAACAGGAGAGUGCCUUCGGGAACGCAGUGACAGGUGGUGCAUGGCUGUCGUCAGCUCGUGUCGUGAGAUGUUGGGUUAAGUCCCGCAACGAGCGCAACCCACGUCUUUAGUUGCCAGCAUUUAGUUGGGCACUCUAGAGAGACUGCCGGUGAUAAACCGGAGGAAGGUGUGGAUGACGUCAAGUCAUCAUGCCCCUUACAUCCUGGGCUACACACGUACUACAAUGCUACGGACAAAGGGCAGCAAGUUCGCGAGGACAAGCAAAUCCCAUAAACCGUGGCUCAGUUCAGAUCGUAGGCUGCAACUCGCCUACGUGAAGGCGGAAUCGCUAGUAAUCGCAGGUCAGCAUACUGCGGUGAAUACGUUCCCGGGCCUUGUACACACCGCCCGUCACACCAUGGAAGUUGGCCACGCCCGAAGCCGUUACUCCAACCCUUGUGGAGGAGGACGUCGAAGGUGGGGCUGAUGGCUGGGGUGAAGUCGUAACAAGGUAGCCGUAG